rnacentral:lncRNA from 1 species
CACCACCAACACUAGUCCAUUACAUCAAGACUCACCAACAGCACACAAACCAGGUAGCACAGCUUGUGGCUUCCCCCUGCCCAUGGUGAAACCCCGGGUGCCAUCAGGCAUGCGGGGGCCUGGUGGAAGCUUGUUGGCCCCAAUCGGCAGCUGCGGGUACUGCUCGGGCUUGGUUAUCAGGUUAUGCGGUGGAGUGCCAACAGGGUGGGGGCUGCCACGGUUCCCACCAAGGUGGUUGUUGCCAUGGUGAUUGUAGUGCUGCUGGUUGUUCUGGUGGUGCUGGUUAUUGUUAUAUUGAUGGUUGCCACGCCCACGCCCUCUGCCACCGCGGCCGCGCCCUUUGCCGCGUUUGGGA